GAGUCUUAAUUGGGCGUUAAGUUGCAGGGUAUAGACCCGAAACCCGGUGAUCUAGCCAUGGGCAGGUUGAAGGUUGGGUAACACUAACUGGAGGACCGAACCGACUAAUGUUGAAAAAUUAGCGGAUGACCUGUGGCUGGGGGUGAAAGGCCAAUCAAACCGGGAGAUAGCUGGUUCUCCCCGAAAGCUAUUUAGGUAGCGCCUCGUGAAUUCAUCUCCGGGGGUAGAGCACUGUUUCGGCUAGGGGGCCAUCCCGGCUUACCAACCCGAUGCAAACUGCGAAUACCGGAGAAUGUUAUCACGGGAGACACACGGCGGGUGCUAACGUCCGUCGUGAAGAGGGAAACAACCCAGACCGCCAGCUAAGGUCCCAAAGUCAUGGUUAAGUGGGAAACGAUGUGGGAAGGCCCAGACAGCCAGGAUGUUGGCUUAGAAGCAGCCAUCAUUUAAAGAAAGCGUAAUAGCUCACUGGUCGAGUCGGCCUGCGCGGAAGAU
rnacentral:rRNA from 1 species